rnacentral:rRNA from 1 species
UGCUCUUUAUGAAUCCAGUGGCAAACGGGUGAGUAACACGUAAACAACCUGCCUUCAGGAUGGGGACAACAGACGGAAACGACUGCUAAUACCGAAUACGAUUCUUGAGUCGCAUGACACAAGAAAGAAAGGGUGGCCUCUACUUGUAAGCUAUCGCCUGGAGAGGGGUUUGCGUCCGAUUAGGUAGUUGGUGAGGUAACGGCCCACCAAGCCGACGAUCGGUAGCCGGUCUGAGAGGAUGAACGGCCACAUUGGAACUGAGACACGGUCCAGACUCCUACGGGAGGCAGCAGUGGGGAAUCUUCCGCAAUGGGCGAAAGCCUGACGGAGCAACGCCGCGUGAGUGAAGACGGCCUUCGGGUUGUAAAACUCUGUGAUUCGGGACGAAAGAUAAGUAGACGAAUAAUCUGCAUAAGUGACGGUACCGAAAAAGCAAGCCACGGCUAACUACGUGCCAGCAGCCGCGGUAAUACGUAGGUGGCAAGCGUUGUCCGGAAUUAUUGGGCGUAAAGCGCGCGCAGGCGGCUACUUAAGUCCAUCUUAAAAGUGCGGGGCUUAACCCCGUGAUGGGAUGGAAACUGAGAAGCUGGAGUGUCGGAGAGGAAAGUGGAAUUCCUAGUGUAGCGGUGAAAUG